GACGAACGCUGGCGGCGUGGAUUAGGCAUGCAAGUCGAACGGUAUCAUCCUUUCGGGGGUGAGAGAGUGGCGAACUGGUGAGUAACACGUAGGUUAUCUACCCUCAAGACGGGGACAACCCAGGGAAACUUGGGCUAAUACCGGAUGUGAGCAACUUUUAGUUGUUUGAAAGGUGGCGUAAGCUGUCGCUUGGGGAUGAGCCUGCGUCCUAUUAGUUAGUUGGUGAGGUAACGGCUCACCUAGGCAAUGAUAGGUAGGCGGCCUUAACGGGUGGUCGCCCACACUGGGAUUGAGAUACGGCCCAGACUCCUACGGGAGGCAGCAGUCGAGAAUAGUCUACAAUGGUCGGAAGACUGAUAGUGCGACGCCGCGUGAACGAUGAAUCCCUUCGGGGUGUAAAGUUCUUUUAUAUGUGAGCAGUGCUUCUUAUAUUAACAGUAUGGGGAAGAGAUAUUAGCAUAUGAAUAAGCAACGGCUAACUCCGUGCCAGCAGCCG
rnacentral:rRNA from 1 species